GUGAGCCCUCGCUGCGGCACCGCCGGCUGCCCUGAGCUUCGGCCCGCUGCCCUAGGCCGGCAUCUGAUGCUCCUUCCUGCGCGGCCGUGCCGGGGGUCUCAGAAGCUGAGCUGCUCUACAUUCACAUGCCAAAGCAGAACCCAUUCCUCCUGCUCAGCCCUCAGCCCUGCCUGCAGCUCUGUAAAGCUGCUGUGGAAGAGCCUGGCUGAGAGACAUCCUUCCUGUUCACCUCCUCAAGCAUCAGGUGGUGACAACUGGGACCACUAGAGAAGCCCAUCUCUUCCCCUCAUCCUCUAAGACCAGGAGAUCUGGCUGCCCUGUCUUGAGGAAGCUGCACCCUGGAGUUGUGGUCCUGUGGUGCAUCACACCAGGAAGGUCUUCUGUGUCUCUGCAGGGCCUUGCUGGGGUCAGCUGCAGCAGCACAUAAAGAUGGGGGAAGGGAGAAGAUCGACACAGGCGCUGGUGAUGUUUCCUAGCUCGCAGAGAUGCAGCCAGCUUUAAGUAAAGCUUUGGUCCACAUGAC